GCCUUCGGGGUGUAGUGGUCAGCACACUUGGAGUGUAUUCCACAGGUCCAUGGUUCGAGUCCCGGCGAAGGCA
rnacentral:tRNA from 1 species